GACGAACCGGACAAACGUUAUUCGGAAUCACUGGGCUUAAAGCGUGCGUAGGCGGCGCGGCAGGUGGGGUGUGAAAUCCCUCGGCUUAACCGAGGAAUUGCGCUCCAAACCGCCGUGCUUGAGGGAGAUAGAGGUGAGCGGAACUGAUGGUGGAGCGGUGAAAUGCGUUGAUAUCAUCAGGAACACCAGAUGCGAAAGCGGCUCACUGGGUCUCUACUGACGCUGAGGCACGAAAGCUAGGGGAGCGAACGGG
rnacentral:misc_RNA from 1 species